rnacentral:rRNA from 1 species
UGGGGAAUUUUGGACAAUGGGGGAAACCCUGAUCCAGCCAUCCCGCGUGUGCGAUGAAGGCCUUCGGGUUGUAAAGCACUUUUGGCAGGAAAGAAACGUCGCGGGUUAAUACCCCGCGAAACUGACGGUACCUGCAGAAUAAGCACCGGCUAACUACGUGCCAGCAGCCGCGGUAAUACGUAGGGUGCAAGCGUUAAUCGGAAUUACUGGGCGUAAAGCGUGCGCAGGCGGUUCGGAAAGAAAGAUGUGAAAUCCCAGAGCUUAACUUUGGAACUGCAUUUUUAACUACCGGGCUAGAGUGUGUCAGAGGGAGGUGGAAUUCCGCGUGUAGCAGUGAAAUGCGUAGAUAUGCGGAGGAACACCGAUGGCGAAGGCAGCCUCCUGGGAUAACACUGACGCUCAUGCACGAAAGCGUGGGGAGCAAACAGGAUUAGAUACCCUGGUAGUCCACGCCCCUAAACGAUGUCAACUAGCUGUUGGGGCCUUCGGGCCUUGGUAGCGCAGCUAACGCGUGAAGUUGACCGCCUGGGGGAGUACGGUCGCAAGAUUAAAACUCAAAGGAAUUGACGGGGGUCAUAGCUGUUUUCCU